rnacentral:rRNA from 1 species
GACGAACGCUGGCGGCGUGCUUAACACAUGCAAGUCGAACGGAAAGGCCCUGCUUUCGUGGGGUGCCCGAGUGGCGAACGGGUGAGUAACACGUGAGUAACCUGCCCUUGACUUUGGGAUAACUUCAGGAAACUGGGGCUAAUACCGGAUAGGAGCUCCUGCAGCAUGGGGGGGGUUGGAAAGUUUGGGCGGUAGGGGAUGGACUCGCGGCUUACCAGCUUGUUGGUGGGGUAGUGGCCUACCAAGGCUUUGACGGGUGGCCGGCCUGAGAGGGUGACCGGCCACAUGGGGACUGAGAUACGGACCAGACUCCUACGGGAGGCAGCAGUGGGGAAUAUUGCACAAUGGGCGGAAGCCUGAUGCAGCAACGCCGCGUGCGGGAUGACGGCCUUCGGGUUGUAAACCGCUUUCGCCUGUGACGAAGCGUGAGUGACGGUAAUGGGUAAAGAAGCACCGGCUAACUACGUG